rnacentral:rRNA from 1 species
CGAAAGCCUGAUCCAGCAAUGCCGCGUGUGUGAAGAAGGCCUUCGGGGUUGUAAAGGCACUUUUGUCCGGAAAGAAAUCCCUAGCUCUAUUACCAGUCGGGGGAUUGAACGGUACCCGAAGAAUAAGCACCGGCUAACUACCGUGCCAGCAGCCGCGGUAAUACGUAGGGUGCGAGCGUUAAUCGGAAUUACUGGGCCGUAAAGCGUGCGCAGGGCGGGUUUGCUAAGACCCGAUGUGAAAUCCCCGGGCUCAACCUGGGAACUGCAUUGGUGACUGGCAGGCUAGAGUAUGGCAGAGGGGGGGUAGAAUUUCCACGUGUAGCAGUGAAAUGCGUAGAGAUGUGGAGGAAUACCGAUGGCGAAGGCAGCCCCCUGGGCCAAUACUGACGCUCAUGCACGAAAGCGUGGGGAGCAAACAGGAUUAGAUACCCUGGUAGUCCACGCCCUAAACGAUGUCAACUAGUUGUUGGGGGAUUCAUUUCCUUAGUAACGUAGCUAACGCGUGAAGUUUGACCGCCUGGGGAGUACGGUCGCAAGAUUAAAACUCAAAGGAAAUUGACGGGGACCCCGCACAAGGCGGUGGAUGAUGUGGAUUUAAUUUCGAUGCAACGCGAAAAACCUUACCUACCCUUUGACAUGGUCGGAAUCCCGCUGAGAGGUGGGAGUGCUCGAAAGAAGAACCGGCGCCACAGGUGCUGCCAUUGGCUGAUCGUCAGCUUCGGUGGUCCGUUGGAAGAAUGUUGUGGGCUUAAG